AUGGGUUGACAGCUUUGGUGUUUAUACAUUAUACUGUUAUACAUGCUGUUGGAUGUGAUACUUCGUUGUUUUUAUCAAAAAUUCAGAUAGAUUGUGAUGCCUUGUGAUACAAUGUAUGCAUUGAGAGACAUUCUAAUGCAUUAUGAUAUAUUGUGAUAGAUUGUAAUACAAGAUGACACAUUUUGAUACUAUGUGAUAUAGUAUGAUACAAGAUGGUUUACUAUCAUUAAUUAUGAUACAGAAGGCUUUGAUUUUAUUUUUAGGCAUUAUGUGGCAAUAUAUUGAGUAAUUCAUAUUUUGAUUUUAACUUUAUCAUUUUGUAUUGGGUUUGCUGCAAAAUUGAAAUGGCUGCUAUGAUUGGAUGAUAUACUAGGUUCUUUGUAGGUUACAAGUAGCCCUGAACUGCAACUGCUAAUAUGCCUCUGUUCACUUUUUUUUUUAAGUGCAAGGGUGUAUGUGCAAUUAGUUAAAAUUAGAGGGGUUAUAAGUGGAACAAACAUAAAAUACAUGGGCAGUCAGUCAUCGAACAUAUCUAAUUUUGAGGGGCA
rnacentral:lncRNA from 1 species